UACGGGGGGGGCAAGCGUUGUUCGGAAUUACUGGGCGUAAAGGGUGCGUAGGCGGUUCGCUAAGUUGGAUGUGAAAACUCUGGGCUUAACCCAGAGCCUGCAUCCAAUACUGACGAGCUAGAGUUCUGGAGGGGGUAGCGGAAUUCCUGGUGUAGCGGUGAAAUGCGCAGAUAUCAGGAGGAACACCGGUGGCGAAGGCGGUUCUCUGGGCAUUACCUGACGCUGAGGAGCGAAAGUGUGGGGAGCGAACAGG
rnacentral:rRNA from 1 species